rnacentral:rRNA from 1 species
CCUACGGGUGGCAGCAGUGAGGGAUAUUGGUCAAUGGGGGAAACCCUGAACCAGCAACGCCGCGUGUGGGAAGACGGUUUUCGGAGUGUAAACCUCUGUCUGCGGGGAAGAGAAGGACGGUAGCAGAGGAGGAACCUCCGGCUAACUACGUGCCAGCAGCCGCGGUAAUACGUAGGGAGGAAGCGUUGUCCGGAUUUACUGGGGGUAAAGGGUGCGUAGGCGGGCCUGCAAGUCAGCAGUGAAAUCCAUGGGCUUAACCCGUGAACUGCUUUUGAAACUGUAGGGCUGGAGUGAAGUAGAGGCAGGCGGAAUUCCCGGUGUAGCGGUGAAAUGCGUAGAGAUCGGGCGGAACCCCAGUGGCGAAGGCGGCCUGCUGGGCUUUAACUGACGCUGAAGCACGAAAGCGUGGGUAGCAAACAGGAUUAGAUACCCCGGUAGUC